GCUCUUGUGGCUGGAGAAGGGAAUGAAUACUUUUACAUCCUAACAGUCACUUGAAUUGUCCACCCUUUCUCCCUGCAGAGAAUGCACAGGAAUCACUGCCAAUGCCACAAGGUGAUGGAAAUUCAGCAACCACAUUAUCAGUUCUACCCAUUACCAUCUCAACUCAGCUGUCUCCCGUGACUGCGGCACGUUCAACAUCACCAGCACACUCAACUUCCACUGUCCCAGAAGACAUUAAUCACCCAACCACAUCAUCAGGUAAGCCAGCCAGCUAUGGUUACAACCACCAAAAAUGGGUGUGAUACUUUGUAUUUGCUGCUUCCGCAUUCGAGCCCACAGGAAGGAUGAUGAGCUGAAGCUCAGGGCCAGGGAAGAUUCACUACCAAGGGAUCUAGGGACAAUGUGAUGCCAAUGUCAGCUUCAACACCUGAUCUUAUGCUCCAUGAGGAUAGGGGUUUUUUGUUUGUUUGUUUUUUGUCUGUCUUGCUUAUCACUGUACCUCUAGAAGCUAUCGCGGUGCUUGGCAUACGGUAAUCACUCAAUAAAGUUUAUCGAGUCAAU